CUGCACAGCGUCCAAGCGUUAGUGCUGCUAGCUCGUUAACGCGUUGACGCCUUGCAGCC
ensembl:miRNA